rnacentral:rRNA from 1 species
UACGUAGGGUGCAAGCGUUGUCCGGAAUUAUUGGGCGUAAAGAGCUCGUAGGCGGUUUGUUGCGUCGGUUGUGAAAGCCCGGGGCUUAACCCCCGGGGUCUGCAGUCGAUACGGGCAGGCUAGAGUGUGGUAGGGGAGAUCGGAAUUCCAGGUGUAGCGGUGAAAUGCGUAGAUAUCUGGAGGAAUACCGGUGGCGAAGGCGGCAUCCUGGACCGGCAUUGACGCUGAGGAGCGAAAGCCAGGGGAGCAAACGGG